GGUUAAGCGACUAAGCGUACACGGUGGAUGCCCUGGCAGUCAGAGGCGAUGAAGGGCGUGCUAAUCUGCGAUAAGCGCCGGUAAGGUGAUAUGAACCGUUAUAACCGGCGAUACCCGAAUGGGGAAACCCAGUGUGACUCGUCACACUAUCAUUAACUGAAUCCAUAGGUUAAUGAGGCGAACCGGGGGAACUGAAACAUCUAAGUACCCCGAGGAAAAGAAAUCAACCGAGAUUCCCCCAGUAGCGGCGAGCGAACGGGGAGGAGCCCAGAGCCUGAAUCAGCAUGUGUGUUAGUGGAAGCGUCUGGAAAGGCGCGCGAUACAGGGUGACAGCCCCGUACACAAAAGCGCAUGUGCUGUGAGCUCGAUGAGUAGGGCGGGACACGUGGUAUCCUGUCUGAAUAUGGGGGGACCAUCCUCCAAGGCUAAAUACUCCUGACUGACCGAUAGUGAACCAGUACCGUGAGGGAAAGGCGAAAAGAACCCCGGCGAGGGGAGUGAAAAAGAACCUGAAACCGUGUACGUACAAGCAGUGGGAGCACCCUUUGGGGUGUGACUGCGUACCUUUUGUAUAAUGGGUCAGCGACUUAUAUUCUGUAGCAAGGUUAACCGUAUAGGGGAGCCGCAGGGAAACCGAGUCUUAACCGGGCGUUAAGUUGCAGGGUAUAGACCCGAAACCCGGUGAUCUAGCCAUGGGCAGGUUGAAGGUUGGGUAACACUAACUGGAGGACCGAACCGACUAAUGUUGAAAAAUUAGCGGAUGACCUGUGGCU
rnacentral:rRNA from 1 species